rnacentral:rRNA from 1 species
GAUGAACGCUGGCGGCGUGCCUAAUACAUGCAAGUCGAGCGAACAGACGAGGAGCUUGCUUCUCUGACGUUAGCGGCGGACGGGUGAGUAACACGUGGAUAACCUACCUAUAAGACUGGGAUAACUUCGGGAAACCGGAGCUAAUACCGGAUAAUAUUUUGAACCGCAUGGUUCAAUAGUGAAAGACGGUUUUGCUGUCACUUAUAGAUGGAUCCGCGCCGCAUUAGCUAGUUGGUAAGGUAACGGCUUACCAAGGCAACGAUGCAUAGCCGACCUGAGAGGGUGAUCGGCCACACUGGAACUGAGACACGGUCAAGACUCCUACGGGAGGAAGCAGUAGGGAAUCUUCCGCAAUGGGCGAAAGCCUGACGGAGCAACGCCGCGUGAGUGAUGAAGGUCUUCGGAUCGUAAAACUCUGUUAUUAGGGAAGAACAAAUGUGUAAGUAACUAUGCACGUCUUGACGGUACCGAAUCAGAAAGCCACGGCUAACUACGUG